ACUCUGCUUCGUUAUUGGAGGCGU
rnacentral:siRNA from 1 species